rnacentral:rRNA from 1 species
CCUACGGGAGGCAGCAGUGAGGAAUAUUGGUCAAUGGACGAGAGUCUGAACCAGCCAAGUAGCGUGAAGGAUGACUGCCCUAUGGGUUGUAAACUUCUUUUAUAUGGGAAUAAAAUGUUCCACGUGUGGGAUUUUGUAUGUACCCUAUGAAUAAGGAUCGGCUAACUCCGUGCCAGCAGCCGCGGUAAUACGGAGGAUCCGAGCGUUAUCCGGAUUUAUUGGGUUUAAAGGGAGCGUAGGUGGAUUGUUAAGUCAGUUGUGAAAGUUUGCGGCUCAACCGUAAAAUUGCGGUUGAAACUGGCAGUCUUGAGUACAGUAGAGGUGGGCGGAAUUCGUGGUGUAGCGGUGAAAUGCUUAGAUAUCACGAAGAACUCCGAUUGCGAAGGCAGUUCACUGGACUGCAACUGACACUGAGGCUCGAAAGUGUGGGUAUCAAACAGGAUUAGAUACCCGUGUAGUC